AUACGUAGGUGGCAAGCGUUAUCCGGAUUUACUGGGUGUAAAGGGCGUGUAGGCGGGCCUGCAAGUCAGGUGUGAAAUUCCAGGGCUCAACCCUGGAACUGCACUUGAAACUGUGGGUCUUGAGUGAUGGAGAGGCAGGCGGGAUUCCGUGGGUAGCGGGGAAAAGCGUAGAUAUACGGAGGAACACCAGUGGCGAAGGCGGCCUGCUGGACAUUAACUGACGCUGAGGCGCGAAAGCGUGGGGAGCAAACAGGAUUAGAUACCCUGGUAGUCCACGUUGUAAACGAUGGAUACUAGGUGUGGGGGGUCUGACCCCCUCCGUGCCGCAGUUAACACAAUAAGUAUCCCACCUGGGGAGUACGAUCGCAAGGUUGAAACUCAAAGGAAUUGACGGGG
rnacentral:rRNA from 1 species